GGAGUCUGGUCCGUGUCUCAGUACCAGUGUGGGGGGACCUUCCUCUCAGAACCCCUACGCAUCGAUGCCUUGGUGGGCCGUUGCCCCGCCAACUAACUAAUGCCACGCAUGCCCAUCCGCAACCUAUGAAUAUUUAAUCAAAAGGGGAUGCCCCCUCUCGAUACUAUCGGAGUUUAAUCGUCCUUUCGGUCGGCUAUCUCCGUGUUGCGGGCAGGUUGCAUACGCGUUACUCACCCGUCCGCCGCUCGCCACCAAUGUAUUGCUACACCGUGCUGCCGCUCGACUUGCAUGUGUUAGGCCUGCCGCUAGCGUUUAUC
rnacentral:rRNA from 1 species